GGGCCGGUAGUCCAGUCUGGUUAACGACGCCGCCCUCACACGGCGGAGAUCCCCGGUUCAAAUCCGGGCCGGCCCA
rnacentral:tRNA from 1 species